rnacentral:rRNA from 1 species
GACGAACGCUGGCGGCGUGCCUAACACAUGCAAGUCGAACGGAGUGUUUCGCUGAUUUGAGGGUAGCUUGCUACUGAAUUUUCUUGAAACACUUAGUGGCGGACGGGUGAGUAACGCGUGAGCAACCUGCCUUACAGAGGGGGACAACAGUUGGAAACGACUGCUAAUACCGCAUAACGUAUUCGGAAGGCAUCUUCUGAAUACCAAAGGGGCAAUCCGCUGUAAGAUGGGCUCGCGUCCGAUUAGGUAGUUGGUGAGGUAACGGCUCACCAAGCCGACGAUCGGUAGCCGGACUGAGAGGUUGAACGGCCACAUUGGGACUGAGACACGGCCCAG